rnacentral:rRNA from 1 species
GAUUCCCCUAGUAACUGCGAGUGAACCGGGAAAAGCUCAAAUUUAAAAGCUGGCGGUCUUUGGCCGUCCGCGUUGUAAUCUAGAGAAGUGUUACCCGCGUUGGACCGUGUACAAGUCUCCUGGAAUGGAGCGUCAUAGAGGGUGACAAUCCCGUCUUUGACACGGACUCCCAAGGCUUUGUGGUGCGCUCUCAAAGAGUCGAGUUGUUUGGGAAUGCAGCUCUAAAUGGGUGGUAAAUUCCAUCUAAAGCUAAAUAUUGGCGAGAGACCGAUAGCGAACAAGUACCGUGAGGGAAAGAUGAAAAGAACUUUGGAAAGAGAGUUAAACAGUACGUGAAAUUGCUGAAAGGGAAACGCUUGAAGUCAGUCGCGUUGGCUGGAGAUCAACCUUGCUUUUGCUGGGNGUACUCUCUANUUGACGGNNNNNNGAGAUCCCUGUCGUGGGGAGCAUCGACGCCCGGACCAGAACUUUUGGGACGGAUCUGCGGUAGAGCAUGUAUGUUGGGACCCGAAAGAUGGUGAACUAUGCCUGAAUAGGGUGAAGCCAGAGGAAACUCUGGUGGAGGCUCGUAGCGAUUCUGACGUGCAAAUCGAUCGUCAAAUUUGGG